rnacentral:lncRNA from 1 species
CCUCUUGGGGACUCUCCCCUCCAACCUCCAUCCCCCAGCGCCCGGGCCUGGACGGGGCACACCCUGGGGAUGUGGAGAGGGAGUGGGGCCGUGAUUAAAGGGAAGUAAUAAUCAUUAUAAUUGUGGUAUUUGUUAAGCACGUACUAUGUGCCAGGCACCGGUUCUAAACAACUGUUACAAGCUGAGGUGGAUGCAAGCAAAUUGGGUUGGACACAGUCCUUGUCCCACAUGGGGCUCACAGUCUCAAUCCCCAUUUUACAGAUGAGGUAACUGAGGCCCAGAGAAAUGAGUGACUUACCCAAGGCCACACAGCAGACAAGUGGCAGAGGAGGGAUUAUUAAACGCUCACUAGGUGCCAGGCACUGUUCUCAGCGCUGAGGUAGAUCCAGUGGAAUUGGGACAGACACAGUCCCUGUUCCACAUGGCGCUCACAGUCUUCAUCCCCAUUUUAUAGAUGAGGUAACUGAAGCCCAGAGAAGUGAAGUGACUUGCCCAGGGUCAUGGAGCAGACAGGGGGCAGAGCUGAGAUUAGAACCCCUGUCUCCUGACUCCCAGGUCUGUGCUCUUUCCACUAGGCCAAGCUGCUUUCUCCUAAACCCGCACCCCUAAGGUCGCGAGGUGCAGAUGGAGUUGGAGCGGAUCCACGUCCCUCUUCGGACAGACACGCCCUCGCCCUCCAACAACAGCAGCAGACAUUCGGUACUGAAUUUCCAAGAAGGGAAGAUGGUAGGAGCAGGAAGCGAGAAAAACCACCAAUGGGUCUCCAUGCCAUCCAACAGAAAGGAGACGCUCUGAAGACAUAGUCUCUCCAGGCGGCGUGCCCAAAUGACCUUGUCCUGAAAUUAGCCAAAUUAGCCACGUCAAGGCAACCGCGGCACUGACCCAAUUAAGGCCUCACCUUCUCAUUCAGAGCUGAUUCAAAAUUGAUGUUUGAUGCUUGCGUUUUUGCCCUUCCACUUAAUUCCAGCAUUUGUUCUGCUUUUAAUCCCCGAUAAAAUGAUUUGAAU